rnacentral:rRNA from 1 species
AGUGAACGCUGGCGGUAGGCCUAACACAUGCAAGUCGAACGGCAGCACAGUAAGAGCUUGCUCUUACGGGUGGCGAGUGGCGGACGGGUGAGGAAUACAUCGGAAUCUACUUUUUCGUGGGGGAUAACGUAGGGAAACUUACGCUAAUACCGCAUACGACCUACGGGUGAAAGCAGGGGAUCUUCGGACCUUGCGCGAUCGAAUGAGCCGAUGUCGGAUUAGCUAGUUGGCGGGGUAAAGGCCCACCAAGGCGACGAUCCGUAGCUGGUCUGAGAGGGUGAUCAGCCACAUUGGAACUGAGACACGGUCCAGACUCCUACGGGAGGCAGCAGUGGGGAAUAUUGGACAAUGGGCGCAAGCCUGAUCCAGCCAUACCGCGUGGGUGAAGAAGGCCUUCGGGUUGUAAAGCCCUUUUGUUGGGAAAGAAAAGCAGCAGGUUAAUACCCCGCUGUUCUGACGGUACCCAAAGAAUAAGCACCGGCUAACUCCGUG